UCGCGCUAGAUGGGGCGUUAGCGGUGCCCUGUACCCGCAAUCCGCUAUAGCGGGGUCGAAUUCCCCACCGAGGGGGCGUGGCGUUGGGUCUGCUCCGAGCGCAUUGGCGUUGACGAUCGGGUCCUACGCAGCCCGGGUCUGUGAACUCCGUCAGGUCCGGAAGGAAGCAGCGGUAAACGGUCCCCCGGGGGUGCCGUAGCCAACCUGGUCCGAGCUGAACGAUCGGGUGAGCGCCGGCGUCGCGCCAACGACGUGGGGUGCGCGA
rnacentral:SRP_RNA from 1 species